AUUGAACGCUGGCGGCAUGCCUUACACAUGCAAGUCGAACGGCAGCACGGGAGCAAUCCUGGUGGCGAGUGGCGAACGGGUGAGUAAUAUAUCGGAACGUGCCCAGUAGUGGGGGAUAACUGCUCGAAAGAGCAGCUAAUACCGCAUACGACCUGAGAGGGAAAGGGGGGGAUCGCAAGACCUCUCGCUAUUGGAGCGGCCGAUAUCAGAUUAGCUAGUUGGUGGGGUAAAGGCCUACCAAGGCAACGAUCUGUAGUUGGUCUGAGAGGACGACCAGCCACACUGGGACUGAGACACGGCCCAGACUCCUACGGGAGGCAGCAGUGGGGAAUUUUGGACAAUGGGCGCAAGCCUGAUCCAGCAAUGCCGCGUGCAGGAAGAAGGCCUUCGGGUUGUAAACUGCUUUUGUCAGGGAAGAAAUCCUCUAGGUUAAUACCCUUGGGGGGAUGACGGUACCUGAAGAAUAAGCACCGGCUAACUACGUGCCAGCCGCCGCCGUAAGAC
rnacentral:rRNA from 1 species